rnacentral:rRNA from 1 species
UACGUAGGGUGCAAGCGUUGUCCGGAAUUAUUGGGCGUAAAGAGCUCGUAGGCGGUUCGUCGCGUCGGCUGUAAAAUCCCGAGGCUCAACCUCGGGUCUGCAGUCGAUACGGGCGGACUGGAGUUCGGCAGGGGAGACUGGAAUUCCUGGUGUAGCGGUGAAAUGCGCAGAUAUCAGGAGGAACACCGGUGGCGAAGGCGGGUCUCUGGGCCGAUACUGACGCUGAGGAGCGAAAGCGUGGGGAGCGAACAGG